rnacentral:rRNA from 1 species
UACGAAGGGGGCUAGCGUUGUUCGGAUUUACUGGGCGUAAAGGGCGCGUAGGCGGUGCGAUAAGUCAGGCGUGAAAGCCCCGGGCUCAACCCGGGAAUAGCGCUUGAUACUGUUGCGCUUGAAUCCAGGAGAGGAUGGCGGAAUUCCCAGUGUAGAGGUGAAAUUCGUAGAUAUUGGGAAGAACACCAGUGGCGAAGGCGGCCACUCUGGCCUGGAAUUGACGCUGAGGCGCGAAAGCGUGGGGAGCAAACAGGG